GGCAGUGCAGUGGCUUAGUGGUUAGCACUGUUUGCCUCACAGGGCAAGGGUCAUGGGCUCGAUUCCUACCUAUGGUCCUUCUGUUUGGAGUUUGCAUGUUCUCCCCGUGUUUGCGUGGGUUUCCUCCGGGUGCUCUGGUUUCCUCUCACAUUUAAAGACAUCCAGGUUACGUGAAUUGGAAACUUUA